rnacentral:ncRNA from 1 species
AUCGAAGAGGAGCGACCAACAUAAGUAAUGGUUACGAGUUUUUACCCGAUGAUGACUAACUGUAAAAGGGGCGGUCGCCGAAGCGGUGAUGAUGGUAAUAAGUCACUGAGCUGGGUCGUGGUUGAAUAAACUACGGACUGUCGCAAGACAAUAUCAGCUUGCGGUGCGCUAUCG